GGUAACGGCCCACCUCAGAACUGUCCUGAGUGCUGAAAUGGUGCCUGGUUGCAGCUGACAUUCCUGUUCCUUCACUUAAGUGCUCUGCCGGAGCACUAGAUGCUUUUCCUUGGAAUCCAGCUGCCAUGUUGUGAGAAAGCCCAGGCCACCGCAGAAACCACAUGUGGGUGUUCCAGCCAACAGCCCCAGCUAGGUUCCCAUUGGAGAGCCCACACCAACCACCAGAUAUGAGGGUUCAGACUCCAGCCUGCAGUCUUCAAGUCUUCCAGCUGCAGUCCCAGACAUCAUGAAACCAUUCUGCUGUGACCUGUCAGAAUUUCUGACCCCAGAAACUGUUGAUGAGAAUAAAUAAUUACUGUUGUU